UCCGCCCGGGAACUACAAGCGCUAGCUCGAAACCCAAAGGACUUGACGGUAUCUCAGACCCACCUAGAGGAGCCUGUUCUAGAACCGAUGACCCCCGUUAAACCUCACCAUCUCUUGCCCAUUCCGCCUAUAUACCGCCGUCGUAAGCUUACCCUGUGAAGGAUCCAUAGUAAGCAAAAAGGGCAAGCCCCAAAACGUCAGGUCGAGGUGUAGCGUUACGAGAUGGCAAAGAAAUGGGCAUACAUUUUCUCUUACAGAAUACUACGGACAACACACAAU
rnacentral:rRNA from 1 species